ensembl:misc_RNA 7SK 7SK RNA
GGAUGUGAGGGCAAUCUGGCUGUGAAAUCUGUCACCCAUUGAUUACCAGGGUUGAUUUGGCUGAUCUGGUUGGCUAGGCGGGUGUCCCCUUCCUCCCUCACCGCUCUAUGUGCAUCCCUCCCGAAGCUGCAUGCUCAGUCAAAGAGGAUGACCAUCCCUGAUAGAGGAGGACUGGUCUUCAGUCAAGGGUAUGCAAGGAGCUGCACUCCCCUGACAAAUAAAAAUUGUACGUAUUUAUCAAGUAUAUCAUUUUGAAAAAUGCAUGCAUUGUGGAAUGCUAAAU